UGCGCAGGCGGUUGUACAAGACGGAUGUGAAAUCCCCGGGCUUAACCUGGGAAUGGCAUUCGUGACUGUACGGCUAGAGUGUGUUAGAGGGGGGUAGAAUUCCACGUGUAGCAGUGAAAUGCGUAGAUAUGUGGAGGAAUACCGAUGGCGAAGGCAGCCCCCUGGGAUAACACUGACGCUCAUGCACGAAAGCGUGGGGAGCAAACAGGAUUAGAUACCCUGGUAGUCCACGCCCUAAACGAUGUCAACUAGUUGUCGGGUCUUAAUUGACUUGGUAACGCAGCUAACGCGUGAAGUUGACCGCCUGGGGAGUACGGUCGCAAGAUUAAA
rnacentral:rRNA from 1 species